GUGGAAAGUGACAGCCUAUAUCUGGCAACACUUGACUGUGUCACAUGACUCAACAAGGCAGAUCGGAGGUGGGCAAAGGAACUGUGCUGGUCUCUGUUGUCAAUUUUAUUGACAGAAAAAUGAGUCAUUAAAAAAGGGCAUCCGAAAUUAUAGACCUAAUUUAGUUCCUGUGUAUUAACCAGCAAUUCAAUAAAGCCUGAGAGCAGUUUCCAUGUACCUAAGUAGCUGAGUGUACCUGGUUUAAAAAUCGGUUGAGUCUAGUCCCAAGAAAAGUUAGAGAUCUGCUGAUUUCUCUCCCUUUCUCUAAAACAUAUUUCCUGCAAACCUGGAAAUCAUUCAGCCUUCUGCAAGAUAGUGAUAGCAUUUCUCUUAUCAAUCACUUUCUUUAGGCACGAUUUCGGAGGAAGAAAUAACUUGAGUCAUUUGUUUUCUAAUUUAAGGAUUUGAUUUCAUUCUUUAAAAUGUUUCAUUAAAAUCUUUGAUUUUUUUAACUUUGGAUAUCACUGUAGGAAAAGGAGAUUUGCUAACAAAAUUCACCCAUUUGCCUCUAAUUAUAUCUCUCUAUUGCCAUCACAAACGCUGUUAUUGAAAUUACUAUUGAGUGUGAAAAGAAUUAGGGGACAUUCCGCAGACAGAGAAAUUUAUUUAAAAAGAAUCUAAAUGCUUCUAAAUUCUGAAGUGAUUAUGCUGAAUUUUUCAGCCUUCAUACCUGUUGUCUUUAAAUAAUGUAUCUUAGUAACAUUUUUAGAUCUAAAGAUGAAAAUGAAAUUGAGAAAAGGGAGGGAAUAUUCUGUGAUUUGGUCUUUCGAUAGAAUGUCCUUUACACAAAUAUAUUCAUAAAAAACAAGCAGCUACUCAAAUAAUGUGGAAUUACACUCUGAGUUCGCGCUGCAUAUUCCCAAGACUGUCAUCAGAGGACAGAAUUUUCCUCCGUAUCAGAAUCCUUCCUGAAGGAAUAUGGCAAAGCAGAUGGAACAAAUGGAAAGGUCUGGUGUCUGUAAACGAAUCAAAUAUUUCUAGUUUUCUUUUUAUGCCAAUAAUAACCAUCUAGAAAAUAUAAUAAGGAAACAAUAUGAUUAAAAAUAGCAACAAGAAUGGAAAAUCCAUAGGAAUGAUAACAAAAGUGUCUACCUCAAUGGAGAAAACUACUAAACUUCAUUGAGAGUUACACAGAUGAUUUGAAUAAAUGUCUUCCAAACGGAAAACCAAUCGCAGAUGGAGUAGUACUGUAUAUAUUUAUUGGGAAAAAAAAAAGUACUGCUAUAAGUGGACCCACACAGCUCAAACCCCAUGUGGUUAUUGUGCAAGAGUCAACUGUAUAUCAGUGCCAGAAUAUAGAAAAUUAUUGCUUCUUCUCUGUGAUUUUUCUAUGUCUUAUGUUAUUUGCAGUGAACAUGUAUUUCUCUUGCAACUGUUUUUAUUUAUUUUUAUUUUAUUUUGUCUUUUUGUCCUUUUAAGUCCACACCUGCAGCAUGUGGAGGUUCCCAGGACAGUGGUCGAAUCGGAGCUGUAGCUGCCAGCCUACACCACAGCCACAGCAACAUGGGAUCCCAGCCGGUUCUGUGACCUACACCACAGCUCACAGCAACACGCUGGAUCCUUAACCCACUGCUAUGGCCAGGGAUCGAACCCAUGUCCUCAUGGAUACUGAGGUUUGUUAACCACUGAGCCAUGAUGGGAACUCCUGCACCUCUCUUUAAAAAGUUGCUAUUAAAAUACAAAAAAUGAAAAAAAUUUAUCUCAUUUCAACCAUGUUUAUACAAGCAUGCAUUCAAUGAAUGAUUCAGAAUUCAGCUAUAUGUCAAGGCUACUACCAUCCUCAGAGGAAUCAGUGUUCUGGUAUUGAUUUGCUGUAAUCCUAGAAGACUGGCACAUCUCACGAGAUGAGAUGAUGAGAUAGGAGGGAAAUAUUCAGUGAAACUUGUGUGCUAGUAAAUACUCUUCAACUCUAGCUGUACUAUACAUCCCACCAAAAUUGUCUCAUGUGAAUAAGAAGUACUUUGUAUGCAGCCAAUAAAUAUUUGAUUUAUUUAAAAAAUUCCUACUCUUAUUCACUUACAUUGCAGAAAUCUUGCAUCGUUGAUUCUGACAAAAUUGUAGUCAGAAUUUUAGAACUAUCAUUUAUAGGUAAAUGACUUGAAAGUUUGUGUUUAUUUAAUGUUCUAUUUUGAUUUCAUAAAUUAGUUAAGAGAGAGAUUUAACACUCAGGACUACAUAUAAAGGGAGAAUCCUUGAUCUAACUUGUUUUGCACUCUUCACAUGUAAAGUGGGGUGUGACUGUGUGUAUUCAUAAGUUUGGGGAACUUAUAAAAUUUAAUGGCCCAUUGAGAUUUAUUUAUUUUGUUCAGAUGUAGAAUAUUGAAAUCUAACAUUUUCAUGGAAAUAAUGACAUUGACAAGGCACAUUCUUAUUUGAUGUUUUAAAAAGUAGAGGCAAAUAAUUGGAUUUAAGAGAGAGAGAAAAAGAGUACUACAAAUGUCUUAAAUAUUUAGGAAUAAAUAUUUCUUAUUACUCAAGGUAAUCCAUUGAUAAAAUCAAUGAAGAAUAAUGUGCAGUUUUUGGUAUCUUUUCCUUAGUUCUGAAAAAAGCCUGGUGACUUGCAGUACUGUUUACAUCAGAGAGCACACCCCCUCUUCCAGGAAGGUUGUGGUUGAACUUGAACCUAGAAUGAGCUUAUAAAAGUCCCUGCUGACAAAAGUCUGAGAGGCACCUUUGUGGAUAAUGUGUAGUGUUCCCCAGUGGGCGUCACUAGGGUUUCGAAGCAACAUCAAUUUGACCAUAAUGUGUUUCCAUGGUUUCCAUACUUAUCACUCUCUAACUUGGUAAUGAGCCCUAAUAAAAUGUGAUCUGACUGGAUUAGAGCAAAAAAAAAAAAAUCUGAAGAACACUCUAGUUAUAGUUUCCUCUGUUAUAAAACACUUGACUGACUCCUUUGGCUCAGGUUUUCCUAACUUUUCCAGUAAGGUGCAGAAUGAGGUCAUCAGCUCUCAGUAUUUCAGGAGGGUUCAAUGCUGCAGUCAGAUCAAUAUUGUGUGCCUUGCCUGUGUUAUUAUGAGAAAGAAAUAUCUGCCUAGGAACUGGAUGAGAACAAAAAUGCUGGAGAAAGGCAUAAACAAACAAACAAAAAAAGCCCAGUGAGGCCAAUGGCUAUAAAAUGCGCAGAAAUCUGCAUCCUUUAUAGCUUAGUAACAGACAGAACUGUCGGAUAAAAGUCAAAAGAAAAUCAGCUGUAAUGGAAGUGAUCACACCGACCGUUUGGAGAAGAGACACAGCACAUUCAACUUUCUGCUCCCUAGGGCCUGGUUAGGUCACAAUCAAGAGGGGAGUGGCUUAUCGUGGUGUGAUGGUUCGAAGUUCACUCGGUCACAUGGAAGUCCUUUUGUGGAGGAUUCAACAUCCUGUUGUGUUAUAUCCACAUGGUAUGUGGCCGUCUCACUGAUAGCAAUUCCUAGCUGCCUGUCCUUUUAACACUGAAGCGGGCACCAUGAAUGGGAGGAAGGGGCUUGCUCCCCGUAGUUUCAGACUCCACCUGCCCCCUCUCCCAUUUCAGUCUUCUUUCCCUCUCUGCUCUCAGCCAAGUAGCACCUGGCUUGACUACCUGCCGACUCUCAGCUUCCUUUGUUGGGUAGGAGGAGCUACCUAGGGCUUUUUGGUGCCUAUCCAGAUGGGGGAAACAGGUAUGAAUGACCUCUUACCUCCAGCUCUUGGCAGAGUGGUACAGACAAGCCUGGAGCUGCUGUUCCAGCCUGGGGCAGUGAAGCCAGACCACAGGCACCUUUGCUGGUUGGGAUUUGACUGCUGCUGAUACCUGAGUCCUGCAGAGAGAAUCCCUGGCCAAAGGUCAGGGGACCUGUUUUUUUCCUGCGCAUUGGGAAAGCCCCUCUAGUGACCACUCUAAAUACCACUGGAAACCAAGUUUAUUUGCAAUUUUCUCUCCAAGGAAAACAGGGACGUGGAGAGAGAUCUAGUUCAAGGCUAAUUGAACAGAGGUUGCACAGUGACCAAAAAACUUGUACACAUUUUCAUGUUCUGAUACCUUGAAGAAGACCAAAGGUUAAGAGUCUCAGAAUAGGGAGGUCAUCUCAUUUUGAAAUUCCUCAAAUGUUUAUGUCCAAGUAGAGAGCUCUGGUCAUGACCAAGUUAUCUAUUCCAUCAUUUGCUAGUUGUGUAACCUUGAGCAGCUUAUUGCCAUCUCUGUGUCACAAGUUCCUUAUCUGUAAAAUGGAGAUAAUAAUGAUUUCUACAAUAUAGUUGUCAUGGAGCUUAAAGGAGACCAUGCAUCAGAUGAUGCAGCCUAUGAUAAAAAUUCAAUAAAUAUCACUUGGCAGUAUUGCGAUUUCAGGGAACAGAAUAAUAUAUUUUUUCUAAUUACUACAUAUUUUCUAGCUGUUCUAUGAAUAGACUACUUUUAUUCAGAAAAAAAAA
rnacentral:lncRNA from 1 species